UUUUCUGUGUAUGGCCCCUGUGCAAGGAUGAUGCCCACAAAUUAAGAAAUGGCCCUAAUUAUUUUAAUUUAGCACAUCACAGGGUGAUGCAGUUGUGUUUGCAUGGUUGGACAGGAAUGACCCACUUUGGAGACCCAAGCCGAGACACAACCGGCUCAACCUUGGUUUUUGUUAAAAAAGGGGAUGGUAUAUUAUAUAGGAGGAAUCUUCUAUUUUAUUUUGGUGGGUAGAUACAUAGAGUUAUUUGGUAGUUUCCUUUUCUUUUCUUUUUUUCUAGUUGAGUAGAUUUCCAUAUUGAGUUGGGUUUCUAUUAAUAUGUUAGUGAUGCGGUUGCCUUGGCUUGGCUUGGCUUGGCUGGGCCAGACCAACCCUCUUUGGAGGCCCAACACAAUUUUCUGGUCCGGCAAGGGUCGGUAGACUACAUAGGAUACAAUGUUUAGGUUUUUUUUUAUUCUCUUUAUUUUUAAGAGGUUGGGUAGAUACGUAGGGGAUUUUUCUUGGGAUUAUUUACUUUCUAUUUCAGUUGGUUUUCAUUGAUAUGUUUUAAUGCAGAAGUAGGUAUACACUUAGGUAAACAAACUCCCAAUAGUUAAAUAGCCCAAACCAAUUCAAAUCUGAACCCUCAAGUCAGUCUUAGCAGAAACCAGAAAAAGGAAAACAGAAACCAGAAAAAUAGGAUGACUAAACCUGUCCCAAAGGAACUAGAAAUACCCAGAAAACUACUUGCAGCAGCAAGAAAUAACCCAGCAACAAAACCCGAUAGCAGAAAACAAUUCCCAGGCAGAACUGGGUCUCGGCCAGAACAGGGAAAGACUUGUGGUUGAAAUUUGGCUGGGUAGCGGGGGCUGAAACCCAGGUCGAGUGCGUCCCUUGAAGUAACCUUUGAACCCUCCAAAGGGCCUUCAAAGUGCUGGACAGAAUAGGAGAGAAAGGCCCUGCCAGAUUUGACUCAAAACAGUAACAAGCUGCAAUCAACCUUGAGAUUUGGAGCCGGUCUUCCACAGGCUUCAAUCCUUGUUUAUGUCUUCAAAUAGGUUUAAUUUAAUCCACACACACUCCCCUCACAAUAAGUAAUAACAGAAAUUACAAAAGUAAAGAUCGUGGCCACAUCAACUUAGCAGUGGUAUGAGCCAUAACUUUGUAUUCUGCUUCUGCACUAGACCGGGCAAUGGUAGUCUGCUUCUUACUACACCAUGUAACCAGAUUACCUCCAACAAACGUGCAAUAAUCCGUAGUGGACCUACGAUCACUAGCAGAGCUGGCCCAAUCAGUGUCAGAAUAGCCAACUAGUUCCAUAUGCCGAUUAGAACGAUAGAUCAGCCCUUUUCCAGUAGCAUCCUUUAGGUAGCGAAGAACAUGAACAACCAUGUCCCAAUGUGCUUUCUGAGGAGACUGCAUGAACUGACUGAGAACUCCAACAGCACAAGAGAUGUCAGGACGAGUCACAGUAAGAUAAAUCAGCUUGCCAAUCAAACUCCUGUACUGAUGCACAUCCUGGAGAGGUUCGCCAUCAUUAACCCUAAACUUUUGGUGAUGAUCCAUAGGGAUAUCAACAGGUCUGGAUGCAAGCAUACCAGUGUCAGAUAAAAGGUCCAACACAUUUCCUUUGAGACAGACUGACCCCUUUCUUGCAUUGGAUCACUUCAAUCCCAAGAAAAUAGUGAAGUUGGCCCAAGUCCUUGGUCUGAAAGUGUUGUUGUAGAUAAGCCUUCACUUCAGAAAUUCCUGCCUCAUCAUUACCAGUAAUAAUAAUAUCAACAUAAACUACCAAUACCACCAGUUUAUCACCUCUGCGAUGAACAAAGACGGAAUGAUCAAAAUAACAUUGAGAAAAUCCACAAGUUACUAUGGUAGUACUGAACCUGUCAAACCAUGCCCGAGGGGACUGUUUAAGUCCAUAGAUAGCCUUGUAUAAGUGACACACACGACCUUUAUUCUCCCCCUGAGAAACAUAACCAGGAGGUUGCUCCAUAUACACCUCUUCCUGUAGGUCACCAUACAAGGAGGCAUUCUUGAUAUCCAACUAAAAUAAGGGCCAAUCAAAGUUGACAGCAAGAGAAAUAAGUAGACGAACAAAGUUCAAUCUAGCAACCGGGGAGAAGGUCUCAAAAUAAUCAACCCUAUAUGUCUAAGUAUACCCCAUGGCAACCAGACGGGUUUUCAACUGCUCAACAGAGCCAUCAAAGUGAUACUUAAUAGUGAACACCCAGUGAUACUUCAUCAAAUCCUUACCAGGAGGUAAAUCUAUCAGACUCCAGGUACCACGACUCAAGAGAGCAUCCAUUUCUACAUCCAUGACAGCUUUUCAUCUUGGGAUACGUAAGGGCAUCAUUAUGGGUGCGGGGAAUAGGGUUAGUAGAAAGUGACAGGACAAGACCAUGGAUGGUCGAGGGAAGAUGAGACAAGGAAACAAAGUUAUCAAUAGGAUACACAACCAUAGAUUUUUUAGCGCAAGAGCGUGUACCUUUCCUUUGAGCAAUUAGUAAGUCAUCAGGCGGAGAAGGAGGAGAAGCUUCACCAGUGGAAGGCAGCAAUGGAGGAAGUGAAUCAUCUGGAGUAUUGGUAUCUACACUCGGCUGUCCAACCUUCUGGCACUGAUAAACCUGUAGGCUGUAGAGGAGGUGAGUCACUAGCACUAGGAACAUCAUGAAAGGGAAUGAGAGAAGGAAUGGGUGGAGGAGAUGUAGAAGUCCACUCUAUACCAGACUGAGACACCUGAGGAGGAAAAAAUGAUGUGCCUUCAAAAAAAGUCACAUUGGCACUAACAAAGUUCCUAUGAGUAAUAGGGUCAUAGUACUUGUACCCUUUCUGAGUACGUGAAUAACCCAAAAAAAUCCACUUAGUAGACCGAGGAGAUAAUUUAUCUACUUGUGCAUGCAAAUUAUGGACAAAACACACACAUCCAAAGACUCGGGGAGGAAAAGGAAAACUUGGCAAGGUAGGAAACAUAAUAGAAAAAGGAGACCUAUCUGAGAGAACUGAAGAAGGCAUGUGAUUAAUCAAGUGACAUGCAGUUAAAACCCUAUCACACCAAAAAUGUUUAGGAAUAUGCAUAUGUAUCAUAAUAGCUCGAGCUACCUUGAGGAGAUGCCGGUUCUUGUGCUCUGCUACCCCAUUUUGCUGUGGGGUAGAGGCAUAACUAGUUUGGUGCAUCAUUCCACGGUUGGCACAAAAAUCAUAAAUAUCAUUUUGGGCAUAUUCUAAAGCAUUAUCAGAUCGAAAAAUCUUAAUUAAAAUGCCAAACUGAGCUUUUAUUUCAUUAUAAAAUCUCUAGAACACAGAUAAAAAUUCAGAUCUGCCCUUUAACAUGUGCAACCAUCUAAGACGAGAAUGAUCAUCCACAAAGGUCACAAAAUAGUGAAAACCAAAUCUAUUACUAACUUUGCAAGGACCCCAUACAUCAGAAUGGACUAAAGAAAAUAAAGAUGGACUACGAGAAACAGAGCGAGAUGGGAAGGACACACGGUGAUGUUUUCCCAACUCAUAGGCCUCACAUUCUAACCUAAGCACAGAUUUAAAACUAGGAAAUAAAAGUUUCAACCUGGACAAAGACAAAUGUCCUAAACGACAGUGCCAUUGGAAAGGAGUCACAUCCCCAACAGUAGUAGCAGCAGUAGAAGAAGCAGGAAAGCCACAGUUAAGAUAAUAUAAACCAUCUUUUUCACGCCCUCCACUAGUCGUCUUCCUUGUGUGAAGAUCUUGAAAAAAAAAAGUGAGGGAAAGAAGGUUACUGAGCAAUUUAAUGAACUAGUUAACUAGCUCACAGAGAGAAGGCUUAAUGGAAAUUGUGGUACAUGUAACAUAGAAGAUAAAUUUAAUGAGGAUGUAGGUGAGAUAGUACCAUGGCCUAGAAUUGGUGUGGAAGCACCAUUGGCAAGAAUAACAGAUGUAGAAUUGGUAUUAGAAGAAAAGGUUUUAAAAAGUGAUGACUUACCAGUCAUAUGGGUAGAAGCACCUAAAUCAAUGAUCCAGGGGGUAGAAGUAGUGGUAAGAAGGGCUGAGGUACCUGUAUGAGCUAGGGUGGCAGUGGAUGUAGGCCCGCCAUUGGAUGUAUUAGAGGAUGCCUCAAGAGUGUGCAAGCGCCAGAGCAACUGAUUGAUGUCAUCGCGCAGACUGGUAGACGAAUCUCCUGAGGAAGUUAUCAACUUAGUAUUAGUGGAAGACACUGUGUCAGUACCAUCGUCUGACACUGCAUGAUUGGCUAACUGAGUGGCCCACUAUGGCUUGCCAUGCUUUGCCCAGUAAGUCUCGACAGUAUGGUUGGACUUCCCACAGUAAGUGCACUGGCGAGAUGCACGAUCAGACGACGAUCCACUAGAACCUCGACCAACUGACUCACGACCUCCCCCACGACUGCUACCACGACCACGUCCGCGGUUGGCUAGGAAGGAAAAAUUGUCUUUGGAAGACUAAUCAGGUUUAAUGGAAGAAUAAAUGUCAUUCAGAGUAGGAACAGUAUCGCUUACAAGUAGAUGGCCCUUCACUGCUUUCAAAUCAUUAUUCAACCCAGCCAAAAAUUUGGAAACAAAAAACUCAUUGCGCUGAACUUUCAAUUUGUCAAUGUCUAUGGUCAAGGGCUGGAAAACAUUGAGUUCUUCAACCAUGCCCUUGAAAGCACAUUAGUACUCUGGAAGAUAUCUGUCAGGCUGGCGAAACUGGAAUAGCUUCUCAUAAAUAUCAUAAAUAUGGGUCAUGUUCUUUUCCUAAGAGUAUGUUUUCUUCACGUCAUUCCAUACUCCAUUUGCAGUAGUGUAGAACAUGACAUUGGCAGCGGCAUCUGGUUCCAUACUAUUCCACAACCAGAUCAAGAUUAAUGCAUUGUCCUUCAUCCAGUCAUUAUAUCCCAUAUCAGACGACUGGGGAGAAUCAGAGAUAGUAUAUUGAAGUUUAUCCUUGGCCAUAAGAUAAACUGUAACACCCUAAUCUAAUAUUAUACCCCUACUUGUGGACAGGCAAAAAGAAAGAACAGAGAAAUCCAAUGCUAGCCUGGUUGGUAGCUCUAGAGUGCCAAGAAGGCAGAAGUGACCCUACCUGCUCUUGUUCAGCUUGCCAACAUCAUUGGGGAGCUCAUCAGGAGGUGUGGACAAAGAGGUAAGUUUGAUUACAAGACUAAGUAUAGUAGGGGAAAAAAAAGGUGUGACAUGAGGACUUCCCAGCGGGUCACCUAUCCUAAUACUACUCUCACCCAAGCACGCUUAACUACGGAGUUUUAUGGGAUUUGGUGCAUUAGUGCUGGUAUGAUCGCACCAAAACUGGUAGGUCCAAAACCUGCCAGCCAAUUUUGCCUAGCAGAAUCUAAUUUUGGGUUUUUGCACUUUGGGGCCCACCUCUGCUGUGCAAAUUCCCAUUUUGCCCUUAUGGAAAGACUCCUAAUUGAGGGUUAAAAUACAUAUUUUAUACAAAAAAAAAAAAGGAAAAUUAAAUUUACAAAUUUAAUUACAUAUUAAUUAAAUUAAGUAUUAUAUGUGAUUUUUUGGUUUUUGUGCCAUGGGGCCCACACCCCUAGUGUGCAAAUCCCCAUUUUGCCCCUAUAUGAAUAAGCUCAAAUAAGGUAUGAAAUGUAUAUUUUAGUGUCAAUAACUAAUGGGGGAAAUAAUUUAAUUGUUUAACCAAAAUCUAGAUUUAUUAGGUAUAUAUAUAUACACGCAUAAAUGUACAUUUAGGGCCCAGCCAAACAGACCUAAGGGUCUGUUUGGGCUGCCCUAUAUAAGGGUUAUAAUGGGCUGAGAUUUCAUAAAAAUCGUGGUUGCUAUAACAGUAAGGAGAAAAAGAAAGAAAGGAGAAGAAGAAGAAGGAAAGAGAAGGAAGAAGAGGAAGAAAGAGAAGUGAGGAGGGAACUCACUCACCUCAGGCUGCUCCCAGAUCAACCCUGCACCCAUGUAAGUGAACUUACUACUGCAGCAGGGUUAAUUAGGUAAUUUCAUGUAGAUUGGGCAGCUAGGGUUAUGGUUUUACCCAAUUGUUUACUGCCAGGGACUCCCUGUGAGCAAGAUAGCUACCCAGUAAAAAAAAAAAAAAAAAGCCCUAAUUUCUGUGGGCUACUGGGGACCCAAUUGGUAAAAACCCUAUCUCUGCUAAACCCUAGAACCUAGGACUCCUCCAUUUUCAGUAGGGAUUGUGCAAUAAGAGUUGGAAUAGGAUUGAUUUGGUGGAAAUUCUGCCAAAACCCUAGGAACAUAAUUUUAUUCAAGUUGGAAUUAUGCAAUAGGGGCUGAAUUAAUUAGGUUAGGUUAGUACUUAUAAAUGUUCAUCUCAAAUUGAUGGCCAAGGCAUGAGAAAUACCCUAAUUCUGCAGAUCUCUUUAAAUUCCUAAACUAUUCCUGCAGAAUUGGACUAUAUCAGUUUUGGGUGUAAUAAAUUGAAACCCAAAAUUGGGUCAACUUGGCAUUUAACCUUUUCCUUACUAACCUAAGAUAAGUAUUGGAAAUUCAAAAUGAAAAAUUGAUGCAAUUCGGGCACUACAGCAACCAUAGUACAGAGUAUGGAAAAGACAGAAUCAGAUUCUGCAGAAUAAAAGGAAGAACCGACAGGUCCUGAUCGGCCAGCCGGUUUUGACCCAAGUAACCCACCGAUUAGGGUUCCCGAAGCCAGAUGGGUUGUGUAACAGGUUACUAGACCUUUGGACAUAAGUUUGGAUUUGUAUAUAUAAGAAUUAAUGAGAGACAUAACCUAUGACUGUAGGGUCCAAUGUUUGGAAUUUCAUAUGACCUCGAGGACUGUAAGUAUGGAUGAAACCCCUUCAUCCAAUGAUGAUCUAUUAAUGAUUCUCUAUAUCUAAUUCCAUUAUAGAAAAUGUUUAAGAAGUUAAGGAAUCAAUAUGUAUAUAGGAAGGAAUAGACAAAGACCUCUAUAGGUUGGGUAUGGGAAUGCUAUACUUAAAGCAAGUGGGUAAAAUGUAGGAAUUUGUGAUGUACCUAAUGAUUUAAAUAUCUGUUGAAUAGGGAACAUAAGUGACAGUGUGGCAAUUUUCUUGAAUCCAAGAAGUGAACUUGCAAAUAUUGAAUACCAAGAUGUCGAGGUUGAACCCAGUAUUUUGCCGACUUCCUGCACUGAUUAUGAGAUAGUGGCCAUGGAUAACUUGGCCAACCUUCAAGAAGAUGGAAUCGACCAUGGACUCGAUUGCGAAUGCGACGACUGUGCCUACGGAGGCCAGUUCUUCUGAGGAAUAGGAUGGACUAUUCCUAUGUCUUUUUGUGUACGUAUUCCUGUUGAUGCAUACUCUGAUGUAUAUAGUCUACUACUGAGAUACUGUAAAUUGUGAAUAUUCUCUUUUUGUAAGGUAUGUAACUCUCAUAUGGAUAAUUGUAAAUAUACCUCAUCACUUAGUUGGCACUGGAGCUUAUGUAAGAUAUUUUUUGUUGGACUGUGCAUAUGUAUAUAAACUCAGAUCUUUCGUAGUGUGAUUGUGGUGUUAUGAUCUGCCCUAGUCUAGAUCUUGGAGAAACAGGCUAACUGGAUACGGUGAGGUGUCCAAUGUUGCAUGCCUUAGCCUAUUAGAGGCAAGGUGUGACAUAAACCUUCACAGAUUGAGCCCAAAGUAGGUAGUUCAAACUUCCUUUGAGCUUGAUAGAGGUAAUCUGAACAUUCACAUUGUCCGAGGAAGAUGUAGCAGUGGUAGUUUUGGUCUCAGCCAUGAGGAACAAAAAAAAAAAAUAGAAAAGAAAGGAUUGCUGAUGUAGAGGCAAACAAACAAUCACCUGUAUGCAGAUCUAUAUGGUACCAUAAAAUGGGGGAUUCUAUUACAGAGCCAUAUUAUCAAGACCUGAUCUCUCCAUGGUCAUCACCAAACAAACAAUCACCUGUAGGGUUUAAGGUUUAGGGUUUAGGGUUUAGAGUUUAGGGUUACAGACCAUGGGGCAAAAAUCGAUUAGGUAUAAAAAAACCCCGUCAAAAAUCAAUCUUCAAUUGUCAAUUAAUAAAAUGAGCAAAGAGACAUUAUCUAACACCCAUGUGAUUUAAGCCAUAGUAAACGCAGCAGUAGGCGGCUGCACACCAGAGAUGUUAGCGGAAGAAUGAAGUCAACAGAGAGGAAUGUAUAAACCUUAGGCUUGAUCACAGAGGCUCUGAUAUCAUGUUACAAUUCCAGAAACCUGUAAUCAAAACA